GCGGGGGACCGAAAGGCCUCGCGCUCAAGGGGCGGCCGAUGGCAGAUUAGCUAGUUGGUGGGGUAAAGGCCUACCAAGGCGACGAUCUGUAGCUGGUCUGAGAGGACGACCAGCCACACUGGGACUGAGACACGGCCCAGACUCCUACGGGAGGCAGCAGUGGGGAAUUUUGGACAAUGGGGGCAACCCUGAUCCAGCAAUGCCGCGUGUGUGAAGAAGGCCUUCGGGUUGUAAAGCACUUUUGUCCGGAAAGAAAACCGCUUCUCUAAUACAGAGGUGGGAUGACGGUACCGGAAGAAUAAGCACCGGCUAACUACGUGCCAGCAGCCGCGGUAAUACGUAGGGUGCGAGCGUUAAUCGGAAUUACUGGGCGUAAAGCGUGCGCAGGCGGUUCGCUAAGACCGAUGUGAAAUCCCCGGGCUUAACCUGGGAACUGCAUUGGUGACUGGCGGGCUAGAGUAUGGCAGACGGGGGUAGAAUUCC
rnacentral:rRNA from 1 species